GACGAACGCUGGCGGCGUGCUUAACACAUGCAAGUCGAGCGGUAAGGCCCUUUCGGGGGUACACGAGCGGCGAACGGGUGAGUAACACGUGGGUGACCUGCCCUCAGCUCUGGGAUAAGCCUGGGAAACUGGGUCUAAUACUGGAUAUGACUCCACGGUGCAUGUCGUGGGGUGGAAAGCCUUGUGCGGCUGAGGAUGGGCCCGCGGCCUAUCAGCUUGUUGGUGGGGNGAUGGCCUACCAAGGCGACGACGGGUAGCCGGCCUGAGAGGGCGACCGGCCACACUGGGACUGAGACACGGCCCAGACUCCUACGGGAGGCAGCAGUGGGGAAUCUCGCGCAAUGGGCGAAAGCCUGACGCAGCGACGCCGCGUGAGGGAUGACGGCCU
rnacentral:rRNA from 1 species